rnacentral:tRNA from 2 species
GGCGACAUAGCCAAGUGGUAAGGCAGAGGUCUGCAAAACCUCCAUCCGCCGGUUCAAAUCCGGCUGUCGCCU